GCGAUCGGCAGCAUCGAGCUGGACGGCUCCCACUUCCGAGUGGUGCGGGAGGGGCUGCACGGCCUCUCGCUCUUUGCCAUCGGAGACGGCUUUCUGCUCUGGACCACGGCCUCAACGAAUGGCUCCAGCAAGGUCUGGCACAGCCGACUGGAGCAGGCCAAGAGCUGGUGGUUCCCCAUGGAGCAGGAGCUGGUAGCCUUGAGGAUUUACAGCCAGAUCUCACAAGAAGGUGAGUCUGGGGCUGCCCCAGCCCCUGGUGCGUGGGGCACCGAGUGAGGCCCUUCUAAUCCUGCUGUCCCUGGCAGGCACCCACGGCUGUGCGAAGAGCAACGGGGG
rnacentral:lncRNA from 1 species